rnacentral:rRNA from 1 species
AGAACGAACGCUGGCGGCAGGCUUAAUACAUGCAAGUCGAGCGCACCGCAAGGUGAGCGGCAGACGGGUGAGUAACGCGUGGGAAUCUACCCAGUCCUUCGGAAUAACACAGGGAAACUUGUGCUAAUACCGGAUACGCCCUACGGGGGAAAGAUUUAUCGGGAUUGGAUGAGCCCGCGUUGGAUUAGCUAGUUGGUGGGGUAAUGGCCUACCAAGGCGACGAUCCAUAGCUGGUCUGAGAGGAUGAUCAGCCACACUGGGACUGAGACACGGCCCAGACUCCUACGGGAGGCAGCAGUGGGGAAUAUUGGACAAUGGGCGAAAGCCUGAUCCAGCCAUGCCGCGUGAGUGAUGAAGGCCUUAGGGUUGUAAAGCUCUUUCAGUAGGGAAGAUAAUGACGGUACCUACAGAAGAAGCCCCGGAUAACUUCGUGCCAGCAGCCGC